rnacentral:rRNA from 1 species
GACGAACGCUGGCGGUGUGCCUAAUACAUGCAAGUCGAGCGGACUUGACAGAGCUUGCUCUGUUCAAGUUAGCGGCGGACGGGUGAGUAACACGUGGGCAACCUGCCCUGCAGAUUGGGAUAACUCCGGGAAACCGGGGCUAAUACCGAAUAACAUUGAAAACCUCAUGGUUUUCUUUUAAACGGCGGCUUCGGCUGUCACUGCAGGAUGGGCCCGCGGCGCAUUAGCUAGUUGGUGAGGUAACGGCUCACCAAGGCGACGAUGCGUAGCCGACCUGAGAGGGUGAUCGGCCACACUGGGACUGAAACACGGCCCAGACUCCUACGGGAGGCAGCAGUAGGGAAUCUUCCGCAAUGGACGAAAGUCUGACGGAGCAACGCCGCGUGAGUGAAGAAGGUUUUCGGAUCGUAAAGCUCCGUUGCCAGGGAAGAAUGCUUGGGAGAGUAACUGCUCUCAAGGUGACGGUACCUGAGAAGAAAGCCCCGGAUAACUUCGUGCCAGCCGCCGCAGUAAUAC